ACUCAGGACCUCUGGAAGCACAGU
rnacentral:piRNA from 1 species